GAUGAACGCUGGCGGCGUGCUUAACGCAUGCAAGUCGAACGAAGCAUUUCGAAUGAAGUUUUCGGAUGGAUUUUGGAAUGACUUAGUGGCGGACGGGUGAGUAACGCGUGGGCAACCUGCCUCGCACUGGGGGACAACAGUUGGAAACGACUGCUAAUACCGCAUAAGCGCACAGUACCGCAUGGUACGGUGUGAAAAACUCCGGUGGUGCGAGAUGGGCCCGCGUCUGAUUAGGCAGUUGGCGAGGUAACGGCUCACCAAACCGACGAUCAGUAGCCGACCUGAGAGGGUGACCGGCCACAUUGGGACUGAGACACGGCCCAAACUCC
rnacentral:rRNA from 1 species